AGGAACACCAGUGGCGAAGGCGACUCUCUGGUCUGUAACUGACGCUGAGGAGCGAAAGCGUGGGGAGCGAACAGGAUUAGAUACCCUGGUAGUCCACGCCGUAAACGAUGAGUGCUAAGUGUUAGGGGGUUUCCGCCCCUUAGUGCUGCAGCUAACGCAUUAAGCACUCCGCCUGGGGAGUACGGUCGCAAGACUGAAACUCAAAGGAAUUGACGGGGGCCCGCACAAGCGGUGGAGCAUGUGGUUUAAUUCGAAGCAACGCGAAGAACCUUACCAGGUCUUGACAUCCUCUGACAAUCCUAGAGAUAGGACGUCCCCUUCGGGGGCAGAGUGACAGGUGGUGCAUGGUUGUCGUCAGCUCGUGUCGUGAGAUGUUGGGUUAAGUCCCGCAACGAGCGCAACCCUUGAUCUUAGUUGCCAGCAUUCAGUUGGGCACUCUAAGGUGACUGCCGGUGACAAACCGGAGGAAGGUGGGGAUGACGUCAAAUCAUCAUGCCCCUUAUGACCUGGGCUACACACGUGCUACAAUGGACAGAA
rnacentral:rRNA from 1 species